rnacentral:rRNA from 1 species
AGUCGAGCGGAGAUGAGGUGCUUGCACCUUAUCUUAGCGGCGGACGGGUGAGUAAUGCUUAGGAAUCUGCCUAUUAGUGGGGGACAACAUUCCGAAAGGAAUGCUAAUACCGCAUACGUCCUACGGGAGAAAGCAGGGGAUCUUCGGACCUUGCGCUAAUAGAUGAGCCUAAGUCGGAUUAGCUAGUUGGUGGGGUAAAGGCCUACCAAGGCGACGAUCUGUAGCGGGUCUGAGAGGAUGAUCCGCCACACUGGGACUGAGACACGGCCCAGACUCCUACGGGAGGCAGCAGUGGGGAAUAUUGGACAAUGGGGGGAACCCUGAUCCAGCCAUGCCGCGUGUGUGAAGAAGGCCUUAUGGUUGUAAAGCACUUUAAGCGAGGAGGAGGCUACUGAGACUAAUACUCUUGGAUAGUGGACGUUACUCGCAGAAUAAGCACCGGCUAACUCUGUGCCAGCAGCCGCGGUAAUACAGAGGGUGCGAGCGUUAAUCGGAUUUACUGGGCGUAAAGCGUGCGUAGGCGGCUUUUUAAGUCGGAUGUGAAAUCCCCGAGCUUAACUUGGGAAUUGCAUUCGAUACUGGGAAGCUAGAGUAUGGGAGAGGAUGGUAGAAUUCCAGGUGUAGCGGUGAAAUGCGUAGAGAUCUGGAGGAAUACCGAUGGCGAAGGCAGCCAUCUGGCCUAAUACUGACGCUGAGGUACGAAAGCAUGGGGAGCAAACAGGAUUAGAUACCCUGGUAGUCCAUGCCGUAAACGACGUCUACUAGCCGUUGGGGCCUUUGAGGCUUAAGUGGCGCAGCUAACGCGAUAAGUAGACCGCCUGGGG